rnacentral:rRNA from 1 species
UACGUAGGCAGCAAGCGUUGUUCGGAGUUACUGGGCGUAAAGGGUGUGUAGGCGGCUUCGUAAGUUCGGUGUGAAAUCUCCUGGCUUAACUGGGAGGGUGCGCCGGAAACUGCGGAGCUGGAGCGCAGGAGAGGAAAGCAGAAUUCCUGGUGUAGCGGUGAAAUGCGUAGAUAUCAGGAGGAAUACCGGUGGUGAAGGCGGCUUUCUGGACUGCUGCUGACGCUGAUACACGAAAGCGUGGGGAGCAAACAGG